rnacentral:rRNA from 1 species
GCAGGCUGCAACUCGCCUGCAUGAAGUUGGAAUUGCUAGUAAUCGCGAAUCAGAAUGUCGCGGUGAAUACGUUCCCGGGCCUUGUACACACCGCCCGUCACACCAUGAGAGCCGAUAACACCCGAAGCCUGUGAGCUAACCGUAAGGGGGCAGCAGUCGAAGGUGGGGUUGGUGAUUGGGUGAAGUCGUAACAAGGUAUC